rfam:Peptococcaceae bacterium BRH_c23 BRHa_1003339, whole genome shotgun sequence.
CCGAAUGAGACUAGCGGGAGAGAUCUGAUAAAUCCAGGCGCCGAAGGAGAAAUCCCUUAAAAAUCGCUUUUUUAAGGAGCAAACUCUCAGGCAAAAGUACUGCUAGUUGACGGGACUCUGGAGAGUUUCUCAUAAAGAGAACACCAAAGGGGAAGCUGGAAACGGCGAAUCUCUCAGGUUUAAAGGACAGAGGA